rnacentral:rRNA from 1 species
UAAAAAUUUAAUUUAUAAUAUUAAAGUAGUAUUAGUUUAAGAUCUUGAAAUUUAAAAAAUUUGGCGGUAUUUUAGUCUAUUCAGAGGAACCUGUUUUGUAAUCGAUAAUCCACGAUGAACCUUACUUAAAUUUGUUUAAUAUAGUUUAUAUAUCGUUGUUUAUUGAAUAUUUUAUAAAAAUAAUAAUUUUCUUAUUUUUUAAUUUGAAAAGAUUUCAGAUCAAGAUGUAGCUUAUAUUUAAGUUUAUAAUGGGUUACAAUUAAGUUAUUAUUGGAUAUAUAAUUUAAAUUAAUUAUAUUGAAAUUGGAUUUGAUAGUAAAUUUAUAUAGAUAAAUAUAUUGAUUUUUGCUCUAAAAUAUG